GGAAAGAGAGAAAGAUUCCUCCCAAGUAAUAUCCACUCACCUGCUCAUAUUUUUGGCACUAUAUUCACACCCUCACUCAGCUAUAUAUCUACACACUCAUCACACAUUUAGGGAAAAACAGAGCACAAACAAAAAGGGGGUUGGGGAAAAUCGCUGAAAAACGAGAGAGAAACGGGGGAUUGGAAAGAAAAGAGGGAUUUUUCCCUUCCUCAUAGCAGCAAUGAAAAUCCACGACUUCUUCUUCACUAUAGCGGCAGCUCACGAACUUUUCUUCCCAAUGUGAAAAUUAGCUCAAAAAGCCCCCUAAACCACCCUGUAAAUUAGUCAUAAAGCCACUAAAACACCACCCAAAACCCCCAUACAUCCUCUUCUUUUUCAGCCAUGAACACCCCAAAAGCAACCCCCUAAAACUCCAUUGAAACCAGCCGAGUAAAGCUCCAAAAAUGAGCUGAAAACUUUCGAUAAACCAGCCUCUAAAUCACCUCGAAACAGCCUAAACAACAGUCCAAAAUUCCAGCCAAAAUACAGCCAAAACACUGCUGAAAAACACCCCCAAAACAUGAUCAAAACAGUCCCCAAAACUCAGUAAAACCAGUGAAAUCCAGCCCCAAAAUUCAGCUGAAACAGUCCCGAAAAUCAGCUCCGAAAAUAGCCCUCAAAUCCAGCAAAAACAGUUUAAAAAAUGUCCUCACCUCGGCCCAAAUAACGCAAAGAAAAUCCAGAAAAAUACACCAAAUUAGCCAUAAAAAUACCUCAGAAUAGUCUUUUUUUUCCCCACCUAAAACAGUGAUGUUUUGCUGGGUUCAAGGUUUCCAGUCAAUGGCGAGUUUCUGUUCGAGUACUCUGUUUGUGUCCUGGAUGCCGCUUUCCCAUCGGUCUCGGCGUUGAAGUUUGGUUUCACGUGUCAGAGUUUGUUUUGUCCUUUUUCUCAAAUUGCAAAGAAAUCAAUAGAGAUCUAGGUACAUCUGCUCGUGUCGGACACUAGUGAUCGUACAAUUAUAUCUGGAUACUUCAAGGUAUACCUUCUCGACGCUCGUAGGCCUCAGAGUCACCUUCUGUUAUUACUUUACUAUUGUUCAUCCUAUUAUCGGACAAUGUUGUAUUAGAGGUUUUAGUACAUUCUCUAAAGCUUAUGACUCGGUUCCACCUGUUUUGGGGAUUUUGUUACUGAUUUUCUGUUUUGGAGUUAUUAUGAGCUUUAUAGGUUUAUUUUGUUA